GAGACAGCAGUCGCCGCGGUAAUACAGAGGGUGCGAGCGUUAAUCGGAUUUACUGGGCGUAAAGCGUGCGUAGGCGGCUUUUUAAGUCGGAUGUGAAAUCCCUGAGCUUAACUUAGGAAUUGCAUUCGAUACUGGGAAGCUAGAGUAUGGGAGAGGAUGGUAGAAUUCCAGGUGUAGCGGUGAAAUGCGUAGAGAUCUGGAGGAAUACCGAUGGCGAAGGCAGCCAUCUGGCCUAAUACUGACGCUGAGGUACGAAAGCAUGGGGAGCAAACAGGAUUAGAGACCCCUGUAGUCCCUGUCUCUUAUAC
rnacentral:rRNA from 1 species